AUUGAACGCUGGCGGCAGGCCUAACACAUGCAAGUCGAGCGGUUGAGGUAGCUUGCUACCGAUGCAGCGGCGGACGGGUGAGUAAUACAUGGGAAUCUGCCUGGUAGUGGGGGACAACGUUCCGAACGGAACGCUAAUACCGCAUACGCCCUACGGGGGAAAGGGGGGGAACUUCGGACCUCUCGCUAUCAGAUGAGCCAAUGUCGGAUUAGCUUGUGGGUGGGGUAAAGGCUAACCAAGGCGACGAUCCGUAACUGGUCUGAGAGGAAGAUCAGUCACACUGGAACUGGGACACGGUCCAGACUCCUACGGGAGGAAGCAGUGGGGAAUAUUUGACAAUGGGCGCAAGCCUGAUCCAGCCAUGCCGCGUGUGUGAAGAAGGCCUUAGGGUUGUAAAGCACUUUCAGUGGGGAGAAAGGUCAUUCACCUAAUACGUGAGUGAAUUGAUGUUACCCACAGAAGAAGCACCGGCUAACUCCGUGCCAGCCGCCGCCGUAA
rnacentral:rRNA from 1 species